rnacentral:rRNA from 1 species
UGGGGAAUAUUGCACAAUGGGCGAAAGCCUGAUGCAGCGACGCCGCGUGAGGGAUGACGACCUUCGGGUUGUAAACCUCUUUCAGCAGGGACGAAGCGCAAGUGACGGUACCUGCAGAAGAAGCACCGGCUAACUACGUGCCAGCAGCCGCGGUAAUACGUAGGGUGCAAGCGUUGUCCGGAAUUACUGGGCGUAAAGAGUUCGUAGGCGGUUUGUCGCGUCGUUUGUGAAAACCAGCAGCUCAACUGCUGGCUUGCAGGCGAUACGGGCAGACUUGAGUACUGCAGGGGAGACUGGAAUUCCUGGUGUAGCGGUGAAAUGCGCAGAUAUCAGGAUGAACACCGGUGGCGAAGGCGGGUCUCUGGGCAGUAACUGACGCUGAGGAACGAAAGCGUGGGUAGCGAACAGG